rnacentral:snRNA from 1 species
AGAUGUGCGCUUUUGCGAGAGUU